ACUCCACCAUCUAGGAGUUCUCUGAGACCCUACUGCCCCUACUGUGACAACAGUAAGCACUCCCUCAAUAACUGCAGCAACUUCAAACAGCUUACUAAGGAUCAAAAACGAGGCUGGGUCAAAGACAACAAUAGAUGCUGGCGUUGUGGCAGAACUCAUAAGUCUGCAGAAUGUAACCUGAAGAUGCGCUGCAGACAGUGCAGCAGUCGACACCUUAUGGCUCUGCAUGACAUCAGUGCUGGGAAGCCAGAAAAUCCAAGGCUUGUUCAGGAUGAAACUGUUGAUACCAACAGCUGUCUAUUCAAUACCAUGAAUGAGAUUCUCCUGAUUCAUAAACCGCCUACCAGCAGGAAGGUUCUACUUAAAAUCAGCAAAGUGAUUCUCAGAAAUGGCAAGAGAAGGUUAAAUGCAUACGCAAUCCAGGAUGAUGGAUCAGAGAGAACUAUCCUCCUCCAUAGUGCAGCUCAGCAGUUGGGGCUCAGAGGUCAGCCUGAAGAUCUCCCACUCAGAACAAUCAGGCAGGAGCUACAAGUUCUCAGAGGAGCAGCAGUCUCAUUUGUGAUCUCACCAAUUGCUCAGCCGACUAAAAGGUAUCACAUCAAAGGUGCUUUCACUGCUCAACAGCUAAGCUUAGCAGAACAUUCACACCCAGUGAACACUCUGAGGGAGAGAUAUCAGCACCUUAAAGGACUUCCACUGCAUGACUUUGAAGCGGUCUGUCCUGUAUUGCUCAUUGGGUCGGAUUAUCCCCAUCUAAUCACUCCUGUGGAACCAGUUAGGCUAGGGCCUCCAGGGGGACCAGCUGCCAUAAAGACACGUCUUGGCUGGACAUUACAGGGUCCAAUCCAACACUUACGGAAGGACAUUACUGAACAACACUGUCUCUUCACUUCAGUCUCGUUCCCGGAAGCUGAUCUCUACAGGCAAGUAGAGAAAUUAUGGCAGAUGGACUUACUACCCUGGCGUAACGAAAAGAUGUGCAUCAGAUCCAAGCAGGACCAAGAAGCGGUGGAACUUCUGGAAAGGAAGACAAUAAGAGUUGAAGUGGAGGGUGUCAAACGAUAUGCAACCCCUCUCCUGCGUGUCAAGAACAUGCCUGAACUAAAAGCACCUAAAGAAGCCGUCUUAUCGCAGCUGAGGGCCACUGAAAGGAGACUGGCCAGAAAUCCACAGCAAGCAGCCGCUUAUACAACAGAGAUUGCAAAACUGGUACAAGCAGGAUAUGUUAACAAUUUACCUCAAGAUGCUGUGACAGACACAUCUGGCUCCUGGUACAUCCCACAUCACAUGGUGCAACACAAUGGGAAAAACAGGAUAGUUUUCAACUGCUCGUUCCAGUAUCAUGGACAAAACCUGAAUGAGCUUCUACUCCCAGGACCAGUGUUGGGGCCAUCCCUACUUGCUGUGUUACUCCGAUUCAGGGAACAUUCGGUGGCAGUCAGCAGCGACAUCAAGGGGAUGUUUCACCAAGUUAGACUGCUCCCAGAAGACAAACCACUCUUGCGCUUUCUCUGGAGAGAUCUUAACACACAGGAACUACCCAGUGUGUACGAAUGGCAGGUCCUCCCUUUCGGCACCACCUGUAGCCCCUGCUGCGCUGUCUUUGCACUCCAAAAACAUGCCCUUGAUCAUAGCCAGCCCGGAGAUGAUGUCCGUAAUUCUGUGCUGAAAUCCUUUUAUGUAGACAACUGCUUACAAAGCUUCACUUCAGCAGAAGAGGCAAAAUGCUUUGUGGACAGAAUCAGGAACCUGCUGGCAGAUGGAGGCUUUGAGUUGAGGCAGUGGUCCAGCAAUGCCCCUUCAACGAUAAGUCACCUGCCCCACAAUUCCAUAUCAGACAGUGCAGAACUCUGGAUUUCGCAAGGCCGAACGGACAUCCAUGAAUCGACAUUGGGGCUCCUCUGGAACCAUCGGUCUGACACA
ensembl:lncRNA